AUCUGCUCAAUGAAAUUUUCAAUAGCCGCAACUAUGUUGUGCUAAGGUAGCAUAAUCAUUUGUCUUUUAAUUAAAGACUAGAACGAAAGAUUUAACAUUUUCAUUUCUAUCUAAAAUAUACUCUUUUAAAACUAUCUUAAAUAUAAAAAGAUAUUUAUAUAAAAAAAAGACGAUAAGACCCUAUUGAACUUAACUGAAGUUUAACUGGGGCAGUUAAUUAAUUAAAAUUUUAAUUUCAUUAAUAAUUAAACAAACCUAAUAUAAUUAAAUUUUAAUCAAGUUACCAUAGGGAUAACAGCGUAAUAAUUUUCUUAAGAUCUUAUUUAAAAAAUAGUUUGCGACCUCGAUGUUGAAUUAAUAACCUAAUAAAUGCAAAAAUUUAAUAAAGGAAGUCUGUUCGACUUUUAAUUAAUUAC
rnacentral:rRNA from 1 species